UUUGCGGCGUCUGAAUGAUUAACGCCGCAAAGUUGCUGGCUGUCUCAAACAAGGAAACCUAAAACAAUAAUUUCCCCCGCGCACAUAAUUCUUUCUUUUGUUUAUUUUCCUUGUCGUCCUUUCACAAAACUUCUUCUUCCUUCCUUCAAACUACUGGGACUGACCCUGACCUCCAUAGUUUCUUCACCAUCGAAUUUCGCUGGGAAAGUGAAGCCCCACCGCCGCCGUCACUGUCUUUCCUUCGAACUGAUCUCCACCGCCGCCGUUCGUAUUUAAGGAGUUUACAAGUUGGUUCCGCUGGUGGCGGUGAAAAAAUCAUGGAAGCAACGAGAAUAGCUGUUGGGUCUACUAAUAGGAGAGCAGAAGCAAGGAAUGGUUUAACUUCGAAAACAGCUGUGGCUAAAUCAGGCGUAAGCAUGAGUCCACAGAGUCAAAAUGUGGUUCCUGUAAGUGCAAGAAGGAUUAGCAUUGGUGGGUUGGGUGAAAAACAGUCAAUUCCUGUAAAAAAAACAGCGGACUGGUCCUGGUAUGGCGGAGAAAAAACCCACUGGUCCUUCUGUUUCACAGCCAUUAAGGCGAUCAAUGCCAGAUCUGGGAACGUCCAAGCUUCCUGAUGGUGGUAAAAAUUUAAGCACUGUGGGUGUCAGAGACACAAAAAGGUUAGGGCCAGUUUCACCUGGGGCUAGAACUUUGAAGACGCCUACAAGCUCGAGUUUAAAUAAGAAUGAUUCUGCUAAUAAGAAUGGUUCCUCAACAAGGAAGGUUAAUUCUUCUUCAUCAGUAGAUAGUACAUCAAGCAGCAUUACUGAAAAGUUUGUAUCAAAGAGCUCCAUGCCUUCAGUUCAAUCCCCUCCGAUUUCAAGUGGAAAAGCAACAAGCUUUCUUCGCCUUUAGCUCGGUCUUCAUCUGUAAGUAGUGGUAUCAGAAAGGGUACUGUGUCUGCAUCACGGAACCAAAGUUCAAGUUUAUCUGGUCGGAAGUCGGCAGCUACCCCUGAAUGCCAGGAUUCUCGCUUCAUAUUUCUGCCACAAGUGAAGACCAAAGCUGGGGAUGAUGUGCGACUGUUAAAAAUUGCACCAUCUAUCACUUCGAUUCAGUUCACUUGAGUUUAGGUCGAAAAGUGAAGAUGAAGACAAUAGUGAGACAUUUUUUUACAAGGUAUAAGAUGUGUGGCAACCGUGUCAACAGGAAAGAGCCUUUAUGGAAAUAUGUGGAGUGCGCUCAACAAAAGGGAGGCCUUGAGUGUGGAUUUUACGUAAUGAGGUACAUGUUUGAUUUAGUCUCCUGCGACAAUGAUGUUUCAGAUUUAGAGAAGGUUUGCACAUAAAUGAGUGGAGAUCCUUUCACCGAUGAGCAAAUUGAUGAAAUACGAGACAAAUGGGCAUCAUACUUCACCGAACAUUGUGUGUAAUUAACGCUUAAAUGAUCUCUUUUUGUGGAUGUUUCAUGCUAUUAAAAUCAUAUAUAAUUUCCUUAUUAUAUUUUUGGUGCAAUUUUGUAACGUAUGAAGUGUAAAAGAUUUAUAGACUUGAAACUAUUUAGGUGGUUUAUUUUUGUAAACAUGUGAUGGUUAACUUAUAUGUAAAAAUCAAAGUUUUUUGGAAGUUAUUGGUGGUUGAUGACA